AGUUUUUGUUUUGUUUUGUUUUUUUUGUUUUAAAUGCGUAAAAAAUGCUAAAAUGAGCACACAGGGGUUAAACAUCUGGGCGUGUAAGUAUGUGGUUUGCAUGUCUUUGAAGAGAGCAAUCAUUUAUUGCAUGUGUCUGUCAGCAGAAAAAAAUAUUUCCCUUCUUCCACUGCUUUGGCAUGGCUCCCCAAGUCAUUCUUUUCCAUCCUGUUCUCCACCUUCCUGGUCAGAAGAGGAAUGUGUGGACGAUGACUGAACUGUUUAUUCAGUGUGUCAGAACUAGAGGCUGGGAAGCCUGAUGAAGACUUCAGCAGAAUUUUUCUUCCCUUCUUGCUCUUGCUACAGAGAAAAACAGAGGAAAUCUGAUCUGCUGUGGAAGGACAGUAACAGUUAAAACAACAGGGCUGUUUGUUAUCCAGGUCGCUGCCAUGGACAUUCUAAAGUGUAUGUUAAGUUUGGAUGCAUGAACACUGCCACAGAACAAGAAAUUCUACAUUCCAUGGAAAUUUAAAAGAAAGAAUGCAGAAAAACCAGAAGUCCUGCACAUCAGUUUGCAUAGUCCAUGUCAGCCAGUCUCUGCACUACUGGCCCAAGACCACAACCUGAUUUUCUGAGAAUGUAAUCUGGCAACUCUGAUAUCUUUACAUGAAUUUGAGGGGAUAAUGUGCUUGUUCAAAUGAAGACUUUGGCUCUGUCAGAAACAGGCUGUGUGCUAAAGAUUUGUUACAUUUUAACAAGGGGGGGGACACUGAUUUGCAGACACAGCUCACACUGAUGUCAAUGAAAACUAUACACAAAGAUCAAGUGUGCAACAAGACUCUUCAUCUCUAAUUCAUCUCAGGAAUUGCCUUAUUUUAAUACUAGGUCAUUCCAAAAGUAGUCUUUCUUUUUUAUUUCCAUGGAAACUACAACAGAUACAAAGAGCACAAUGACACUCUUUGAUAGAGCAAACUCUCAGCUACAAAACAGUAUUUUUUCAAAAAAGUCAUCAACAUUAACUAUGUUUUUUCACCGGUGAUGAACAAGAGCCUGCAUGCUGCACUUGGAAAAAUCUCCAAGUGAAGAUGACCUACUGUUGCUGCCACCACUGAUGAAAUGCACCACCCACCACCUCUGUUUGGUCUCCAUAAAUGUUUGGAAAACGUCACUGAAUGUCAGUGUGUGCCUUUUUCUUCACAUGGAAGAAUUCAGAUACACACUUUUGCUUCAUGUGCACCUCCAGAUGCCAUUUUGUCAGACUGCCCCUCUGCGGCCAUCUGUUGCCCAGCGACAAUGUGUAAUGAAGUACUGGUGGGAAGGUUCAGCCUCUACUGCUAGAUCACCAGCAUCUGCCUUUGAUGUUGUAGACAAACACAACGAAAAAGGAGGCAUUACUUUCAGAGCACCUCUCAUACUUUGAGCUGAAUGAAAUUUGGAUGGAUUUUUAAAGAUGUUGGCUGAAGAUCCAUACUGAUGAGAGGUGAGAAAAUACUUGCCGUUCCAUGGACAAGUCGAAAACCUGUCUGAGCAAACUGCCAGUUCGACUGUUUGUAAAGUGGCCGCAGACCAGGGAAUCACUAUGCACAGCCAAGUGUCAAAUAUUCGCCUGGCGUGUUUUGGCAUCAUUUCAUUUUCUUCUGCAGAGGCAUGCUGAUUCUCAUCAGAAAAGAUCUGGUUUUAAAGGGCACGUAACCAUUUUGAAGUCCGUUCUCAUUUAUUUAUUUUUUUUUCCUACAGUUUUCUUGGGAGUAACAGUUUAAUUUCAUUGGGAUGUUCCAAUACUGUUUUUUUCUACUUGUAGAAUGUGGACAUGAUGAAAAUUGCAGGGCUAGAGCAAAGAAUACUAUGUUAAAGUGUAAUCUGAGAAGAAAAGCACCACAAAUCUGCACUGGGCAGUACAAAAAUGCUUUAUUAAAACAGCCAUUUUACAAGCUAAAAAAAAUAAAUCCUUUCUGCCUCUGAG